AUUGAACGCUGGCGGCAGGCUUAACACAUGCAAGUCGAGCGGGGUGAUGGUGCUUGCACUAUCACUUAGCGGCGGACGGGUGAGUAAUGCUUAGGAAUCUGCCUAUUAGUGGGGGACAACAUCUCGAAAGGGAUGCUAAUACCGCAUACGUCCUACGGGAGAAAGCAGGGGAUCACUUGUGACCUUGCGCUAAUAGAUGAGCCUAAGUCGGAUUAGCUAGUUGGUGGGGUAAAGGCCUACCAAGGCGACGAGCUGUAGGGGGUCUGAGAGGAUGAGCCGCCUAACUGGGACUGGGACACGGCCCAGACUCCUACGGUAGGCAGCAGUGGGGAAUAUUGGACAAUGGGGGGAACCCUGAUCCAGCCAUGCCGCGUGUGUGAAGAAGGCCUUAUGGUUGUAAAGCACUUUAAGCGAGGAGGAGGCUCUUUUGGUUAAUACCCAAGAUGAGUGGACGUUACUCGCAGAAUAAGCACCGGCUAACUCUGUGCCAGCCGCCGCCGUAA
rnacentral:rRNA from 1 species